rnacentral:rRNA from 1 species
UACGUAGGUGACAAGCGUUGUCCGGAAUUAUUGGGCGUAAAGGGAGUGCAGGCGGUUGGAAUAGUCUGAUGUGAAAGCCCACGGCCUAACCGUGGAAGGUCAUUGGAAACUGUCCAACUUGAAUGCAGAAGAGGUAAGUGGAAUUCCAUGUGUAGCGGUGAAAUGCGUAGAUAUAUGGAGGAACACCAGUGGCGAAGGCGGCUCUCUGGUCUGUAACUGACGCUGAGGCUCGAAAGCGUGGGGAGCAAACAGG